GACGAACGCUGGCGGCGUGCUUAACACAUGCAAGUCGAACGGAAAGGCCCUGCUCUUGUGGGGUGCUCGAGUGGCGAACGGGUGAGUAACACGCGAGUAACCUGCCCUUGACUUUGGGAUAACUUCAGGAAACUGGGGCUAAUAUCGGAUAGGAGCUCCUGCUGCAUGGGGGGGGUUGGAAAGAUUCGGCGGUUGGGGAUGGACUCGCGGCUUAUCAGCUUGUUAGUAGGGUAGUGGCUUACCAAGGCUGUGACGGGUAGCCGGCCUGAGAGGGUGACCGGCCACAAUGGGACUGAGGUACGGCCCAGAAUCCUACGGGAGGCAACAGUGGGGAAUAUUGCGCAAUGGGCGGAAGUCUGUGGCAGCAACGCCGCGUGCGGGAUGACGGCUUUCGGGUUGUAAACCGCUUUCGACUGUGACGAAGCGUGAGUGACGGUAAUGGGUAAAGAAGCACCGGCUAACUACGUG
rnacentral:rRNA from 1 species